UACAGAGGGGGCAAGCGUUGUUCGGAAUUACUGGGCGUAAAGGGCGCGUAGGCGGCCAUCUAAGUCGAACGUGAAAUCCCCGGGCUCAACCCGGGAACUGCGUCCGAUACUGGUUGGCUUGAAUCCGGGAGAGGGAUGCGGAAUUCCAGGUGUAGCGGUGAAAUGCGUAGAUAUCAGGAGGAACACCGGUGGCGAAGGCGGCUAUCUGGACAGAAACUGACGCUGAGGAGCGAAAGCCAGGGGAGCAAACGGG
rnacentral:rRNA from 1 species